UACCGUGAGUCGUUAACCUGCAAAAGUGGUUAUUUGCAAGGGUGAGCUCGACAGCCCAACAAUUCUAACAGUUUUCAUGUAGCACAUAGCAUAUAAUAGCAUAUUCAGUUCAUGCAUUCAUAAUCAAUUAAUAUUUAGUACACAUGUUACUUCUCACAUAACAAGCAUAGAGGUUUAUAUCACAAGCAUAUCAUCAAAGAUCAACUUUCACAUUUCAUACAUAUCUCAUAUGCAUUUCAUAUAUAUACAUCAACAUUUGCAUCGCAUAAUAUAGC
rnacentral:lncRNA from 1 species